AUUGAACGCUGGCGGCAGGCUUAACACAUGCAAGUCGAGCGAGCGGCGGACGGGUGUGUAAUGUCUGGGAAACCGCCUGAUGGAGGGGGAUAACUACAGGAAACGGUAGCUAAUACCGCAUACCAUCAGAUGUGCCCAGAUGGGAUUAGCUAGUAGGUGGGGUAAUGGCUCACCUAGGAGACGAUCCCUAGCUGGUCUGAGAGGAUGACCGUCCAAACCGGAAAUGUGCCACGGUCCGUGCUCCAGCGGGUGGCAGCAGUGGAGAGUAUUACACGAUGGGCGCAGGGCUGAUACCACCAUGCCGCGUUUGGGGAGAAGGCCUUCAGGUUGUAAAGCACUUUCGGCGAGAAGGCGGUACUCGCAGAGGAAGCACCGGCUAACUCCGUGCCAGCAGCCGCGGUAAUUC
rnacentral:rRNA from 1 species